GAUGAAGAACGUAGCGAAAUGCGAUAAGUAAUGUGAAUUGCAGAAUUCAGUGAAUCAUCGAAUCUUUGAACGCACCUUGCGCCUUUUGGUAUUCCGAAAGGCACACCUGUUUGAGCGUCAUGAAUACCUCAAUCUCCAUCUUUUCUUCGGAUUGAUGGGUGACUUGGAUGUUGAGCCCUGCUGGUAUGCUAUAUCAGCUGGCUUUAAACUUAUUAGCCGGCUCUGUACUGGAUCGGUUUGACUCGACGUGAUAAUAUUAUCGUUGAGGAUGCAUGUCUCAUGCAGCCGGAAAGUAUCAAAGCAGCUUCUAACUUGCCUUUAGUGCACUUUUACAUUUUAGACCUCAGAUCAGGUGGGACUACCCGCUGAACUUAAGCAUAUCAAUAAGCGGAGGA
rnacentral:misc_RNA from 1 species